GUGCAGCAGAGAAAGAUGACACUUUCUUGCCUCCUUUGGCGCUUAAAAAAUAACAAGCUUGAAUUCAGAAAGCUGCAGUUUCCCCACCCCUCAAAACUUCUUGGCUAAGAUUUCAUAGCUGUUAAAAACUGGGUACAGAUGGGAUUCAAAAGUCCAGCUGACUCUGAGAUUAAUACAUUAACACAAUGUUCUAUUUGCCCUUGCCAGGUCCUUUAGUUCAUACAAAGGUGAAUGGUCCUCGUGAAGGUUGUCACCCAGCAGAAGGGAGCAGAUCCUUAAACAAACAGGAAUCGCAAAUUGAAACAAAGGCGAUACCACUGCAUCCCUAUGAGAACGGCUGAAAUCCCAAAUAAAAAGAAAACCCGACAACAGCAAAUGCCCGAAGGAGCCACAGGAGCCCUCAUUUACGCUUGGUGGAAACGCAAAAUGGUACAGCCACUUUGGAAGACAGGGAAUUCUACGGAGAACCCUGAUGUAGGAGACAGAAGCGAACAGAAGCUGCUGUAUUAGCAGUGGAGAGUGGGAAGGCCACCGCCCCGUCUAUACGUCUGCAGCAGCACCCGCAGAGGUAGUGAGGAAUUCUAGGCAUCCAAGGAACACAGUUUGAAAGU